AAGCGAGGGGAAAAGACCGCACCACUGCAUCCGUCACUGCCAAAAAUAUCAAGAGAUGCUCCCAUGUUGCAGCUAAGGCUUGGUGACUGAGCUUCAAUGCCUCCUUCCCUCUCUAAAAUGGUACUGUAAAUGCUUUUCUUUAAUUACUAUUACAUAUUUUGUUUGCAUAUUGCAAUUUUGUUUUGUUUUUUGCUUUUUGAUUCAUUGCAGCGUUUGUAUUUCUUCCACUGAAUUAAUUGCUCUCUUUUUCAAGCAAUCUUUGUACAUUCCAUUUCCCCCUUCCUAACGUUACUGUAGUUUUGUUGUUUGUCUUAUAUUUAAUAUUAUUGUUAAAUUGUUACCUUGUAAUGUAAACAUGUUGCUGAGAUUUUACAUGCAUACGUUGCUUUUUUUCGUUAUUUUUGUUUUUUUCCCCCCCAUUCUUUUGUGAACAGAUAAACAGAUCGUCAGAUGGUCUAGAUUACAUGCUGAGCAUUGUAUAACAUGUCAUUAUUAAUAUUUUAUUUAACUUUAUAUUGAUGGCUUUGGAAGAUGACUUGUUCUUCAAUGCUUGGAAUGUCCACCAUUAAUAUGCCUGUUUUUUUUUCUUCUGUUUUUUUAAGGACUAACAUGGAUCCCUGGGCUUGAGAAGCGGAUCACUCCUUACAUUGUGGUGUCAUUGUAACAUUUGGAAAUGAAACCUUACGGAUCCACCCAUUCCCAUGACUGAAAGUGGGUCUGCAGCUGACAGAUAUGUCAUUUCCCAGUCUUCGUCCUGAUGCCAUAUCACAGAUCCACCAAUAGAGGUCAACCUUGCCCAGUUCUAGGGCUUUCCUUACUGCCCACAAAUUGACUCCAGAAUGGUUAAUGUCCUCUUUACCAUCUCCACUUCUCCUCGACUAACUUCUCACAGUGAGAAUCAAUAUGGAUGCCAUGUCAGUUUAAGCAUUUAAAGGGCAGUGAAAGGCGUAGAUUCCUCAAUUCCUUUUUUUUUUUUUGUACGAACAGAGCAACUCUAGCCAGGCCAUAUGGACUGUACGUACUCGCUAGGGAAUGGGCAGGUGCGAUUGAGUUAUUUUUGCUUCCCAUUAUAAGGAAAGACGACUCGUCCAGACCUUUCCUUUUAAGUUCAUCUGUUCAAAAGAGGACUCAAAAAAAUGAAAGCCUAUCUUUAUUAUUAAGUCAUUAGAAAAAGAAUCACAACAUUGCAAAAUAUGUUACCAACUCAAUGGAACUCAAAUGAUGAGGAUUGUUUUUUUCAGGUUUUGUUCGCAGACCAGUUUGAUUGUUGACUUUAUUCUGAAGGAACAUAUUUAAUUGGAGCUACGACACUGCAGUCAGGCAAUCUCCUCGCGUUAGCAUUCUAUAAUAGAACGUGGCUCUGGAAGAGACCAUUGUGUAAUGGAAGGGGGUCGGUGUUCUUUAAGGGACGUUGAACCAAUCGCCAUUUUGAUUUGACCCAUGUCUCUGACUCUCCGUGUUCACAGCGGACCUUGAUUUAAUGUCAUACAAUUAAGGCACGCGGUGAAUGCCAAGAGUGGAGCUUAACGCUGCUCUGAAGACCUUCUUCUCAUCUCAACAAAAGACAAGCUAAAGCGCAUUAGCAGUAAUUGAUUUGAGUGCUCUGCAAAAAAAAAAAUGGGAAUGCAACAGAAUCGAUGCAUUAUGUAUAAUUAUAGGACGCAUUUUACGCCAAGCUAUGCAAUUACUGAUACCUUUAAAGUUUAAUAUGCACAGUGCAGCUUUUACAUCGUCUACAUUUUAGCCUUAUAUUGUGUAAAAUAAACGUGUGCUACAUGUCUGCUUAAUGUUUUAUCUCCGUUAUUAUCCUAGAAGAUCUAAGGUAAUUAUUUGUCUGUGAUUUGUAUAUAUCCACCAGAAAAAAAUGUAGAAAACACAAAAAAAGAUCAGAUAUAGUGAUUUCCUAACACAAAAAUCAUGCAAGGUUGUCUAAAUAAUUAUGCCAUAGAGAUUGCAAUCAUAAAUCUUUAAUAUUCUAUUUUUUCACUGUAACACAAUAUAGUGUAUUAUUUGUGAAGGUUCUUUUUUUUUUUCAGAUGAGCAUACAAUUUCAACAACCGGUUUAUUAAGUACAGACAGCAUUGUCUUGCCUGCGAGGUACCAUUGAGUUAUUAUGUUGC
rnacentral:lncRNA from 1 species